UACGGAGGGUGCAAACGUUGCUCGGAAUCAUUGGGCGUAAAGCGCGCGUAGGCGGUUGGACAAGUUGGAUGUGAAAGCCCUGGGCUCAACCCAGGAUGUGCAUUCAAAACUGUCCGACUUGAAUCUCGGAGGGGGUCAGAGAAUUCCCGGUGUAGAGGUGAAAUUCGUAGAUAUCGGGAGGAACACCAGUGGCGAAGGCGCUGACCUGGACGAUGAUUGACGCUGAGGCGCGAAAGCGUGGGGAGCAAACAGGAUUAGAUACCCUGGUAGUCCACGCCGUAAACGAUGAGUGCUAGACGCUGGCGGAUUGACCCCGUCGGUGUCGAAGCUAACGCGUUAAGCACUCCGCCUGGGGAGUACGGUCGCAAGACUAAA
rnacentral:rRNA from 1 species